rnacentral:rRNA from 1 species
GACGAACGCUGGCGGCGUGCUUAACACAUGCAAGUCGAGCGGUAAGGCCCUUUCGGGGGUACACGAGCGGCGAACGGGUGAGUAACACGUGGGUGACCUGCCCUCAGCUCUGGGAUAAGCCCGGGAAACUGGGUCUAAUACCGGAUAUGACUCCAUGACGCAUGUUGUGGGGUGGAAANCCUUGUGCGGCUGAGGAUGGGCCCGCGGCCUAUCAGCUUGUUGGUGGGGUGAUGGCCACCAAGGCGACGACGGGUAGCCGGCCUGAGAGGGCGACCGGCCACACUGGGACUGAGACACGGCCCAGACUCCUACGGGAGGCAGCAGUGGGGAAUCUUGCGCAAUGGGCGAAAGCCUGACGCAGCGACGCCGCGUGA